rnacentral:piRNA from 1 species
UGGCUGACCUCUGACCUCCCCCC